GCUGACGAGUGGCGGACGGGUGAGUAAUGUCUGGGAAACUGCCUGAUGGAGGGGGAUAACUACUGGAAACGGUAGCUAAUACCGCAUAACGUCGCAAGACCAAAGAGGGGGACCUUCGGGCCUCUUGCCAUCGGAUGUGCCCAGAUGGGAUUAGCUUGUUGGUGGGGUAACGGCUCACCAAGGCGACGAUCCCUAGCUGGUCUGAGAGGAUGACCAGCCACACUGGAACUGAGACACGGUCCAGACUCCUACGGGAGGCAGCAGUGGGGAAUAUUGCACAAUGGGCGCAAGCCUGAUGCAGCCAUGCCGCGUGUAUGAAGAAGGCCUUCGGGUUGUAAAGUACUUUCAGCGGGGAGGAAGGGAGUAAAGUUAAUACCUUUGCUCAUUGACGUUACCCGCAGAAGAAGCACCGGCUAACUCCGUGCCAGCAGCCGCGGUAAUACGGAGGGUGCAAGCGUUAAUCGGAAUUACUGGGCGUAAAGCGCACGCAGGCGGUUUGUUAAGUCAGAUGUGAAAUCCCCGGGCUCAACCUGGGAACUGCAUCUGAUACUGGCAAGCUUGAGUCUCGUAGAGGGGGGUAGAAUUCCAGGUGUAGCGGUGAAAUGCGUAGAGAUCUGGAGGAAUACCGGUGGCGAAGGCGGCCCCCUGGACGAAGACUGACGCUCAGGUGCGAAAGCGUGGGGAGCAAACAGGAUUAGAUACCCUGGUAGUCCACGCCGUAAACGAUGUCGACUUGGAGGUUGUGCCCUUGAGGCGUGGCUUCCGGAGCUAACGCGUUAAGUCGACCGCCUGGGGAGUACGGCCGCAAGGUUAAAACUCAAAUGAAUUGACGGGGGCCCGCACAAGCGGUGGAGCAUGUGGUUUAAUUCGAUGCAACGCGAAGAACCUUACCUGGUCUUGACAUCCACGGAAGUUUUCAGAGAUGAGAAUGUGCCUUCGGGAACCGUGAGACAGGUGCUGCAUGGCUGUCGUCAGCUCGUGUUGUGAAAUGUUGGGUUAAGUCCCGCAACGAGCGCAACCCUUAUCCUUUGUUGCCAGCGGUCCGGCCGGGAACUCAAAGGAGACUGCCAGUGAUAAACUGGAGGAAGGUGGGGAUGACGUCAAGUCAUCAUGGCCCUUACGACCAGGGCUACACACGUGCUACAAUGGCGCAUACAAAGAGAAGCGACCUCGCGAGAGCAAGCGGACCUCAUAAAGUGCGUCGUAGUCCGGAUUGGAGUCUGCAACUCGACUCCAUGAAGUCGGAAUCGCUAGUAAUCGUGGAUCAGAAUGCCACGGUGAAUACGUUCCCGGGCCUUGUACACACCGCCCGUCACACCAUGGGAGUGGGUUGCAAAAGAAGUAGGUAGCUUAACCUUCGGGAGGGCGCUUACCACUUUGUGAUUCAUGACUGGGGUGAAGUCGUAACAAGGUAACCGUAGGGGAACCUGCGGUUGGAUCACCUCCUUA
rnacentral:rRNA from 2 species